rfam:Salmo salar isolate Sally breed double haploid chromosome ssa22, whole genome shotgun sequence.
UUCAUUCACUACUGUAAGUCGCUCUGGAUAAGAGCGUCUGCUAAAUGACUCAAA